UACGUAGGGUGCGAGCGUUAAUCGGAAUUACUGGGCGUAAAGCGUGCGCAGGCGGUUUUGUAAGACAGGCGUGAAAUCCCCGAGCUCAACUUGGGAAUGGCGCUUGUGACUGCAAGGCUAGAGUAUGUCAGAGGGGGGUAGAAUUCCACGUGUAGCAGUGAAAUGCGUAGAGAUGUGGAGGAAUACCGAUGGCGAAGGCAGCCCCCUGGGUCGAUACUGACGCUCAUGCACGAAAGCGUGGGGAGCAAACAGG
rnacentral:rRNA from 1 species